UACGUAGGGUGCGAGCGUUAAUCGGAAUUACUGGGCGUAAAGUGUGCGCAGGCGGCAGAGCAAGUCGAGUGUGAAAGCCCCGGGCUUAACUUGGGAAUUGCGCUCGAAACUACUUUGCUGGAGUGUGGCAGAGGAAGGUGGAAUUCCACGUGUAGCGGUGAAAUGCGUAGAGAUGUGGAGGAACACCAAUGGCGAAGGCAGCCUUCUGGGCAAAUACUGACGCUCAUGCACGAAAGCGUGGGGAGCAAACAGG
rnacentral:rRNA from 1 species